rnacentral:rRNA from 1 species
UACGAAGGUGGCAAGCGUUGUUCGGAUUUACUGGGCGUAAAGCGUGCGCAGGCGGUUUUGUAAGUUUGUCGUGAAAUCCCCGGGCUCAACCUGGGAAUGGCGAUGAAGACUGCAAGGCUAGAAUCUGGCAGAGGGGGGUAGAAUUCCACGUGUAGCAGUGAAAUGCGUAGAGAUGUGGAGGAACACCGAUGGCGAAGGCAGCCCCCUGGGUCAAGAUUGACGCUCAUGCACGAAGGCGUGGGGAGCAACAGG